AUACGGAGGGCACAAGCGUUGUUCGGAAUUAUUGGGCGUAAAGCGCGUGUAGGCGGCUUGGUAAGUCGGAUGUGAAAGCCCGGGGCUCAACCCCGGAAUUGCAUACGAAACUGCCUCGCUAGAGUCUCGGAGAGGAGGGCGGAAUUCCCGGUGUAGAGGUGAAAUUCGUAGAUAUCGGGAGGAACACCAGUGGCGAAGGCGGCCCUCUGGACGAUGACUGACGCUGAGACGCGAAAGCGUGGGGAGCAAACAGGAUUAGAAACCCCGGUAGUCC
rnacentral:rRNA from 1 species